rnacentral:rRNA from 1 species
CUAGAGCUAAUACACGCACACAUGCUCCGACCGCAAGGGACGAGCGCAUUUAUUAGAACAAAACCGAUCGGACUUCGGUCUGCUUCGUUUGUGACUCUGAAUAACUUUGCUGAUCGUACGGUCUUCGUACCGACGACGCAUCUUUCAAGUGUCUGCCUUAUCAACUGUCGAUGGUAGGUUUUACGCCUACCAUGGUUGUGACGGGUAACGGAGAAUAAGGGUUCGACUCCGGAGAGGGAGCCUGAGAAACGGCUACCACAU